GACGAACGCUGGCGGCGUGCUUAACACAUGCAAGUCGAACGGAAAGGCCUGCUUUCCCUUGUGGAUUGCGGGUACUCGAGUGGCGAACGGGUGAGUAACACGUGAGUGAUCUGCCCCCAACUUGGGUAUAAGCCUGGGAAACUGGGUCUAAUUCCCGAUAGGACUGCAGGGUGGUGCCUGUGGUGGAAAACGAUUUUCGAGUGGUUGGGGAUGAGCUCGCGGCCUAUCAGCUUGUUGGUGGGGUAAUGGCCUACCAAGGCGGCGACGGGUAGCCGGCCUGAGAGGGUGGACGGCCACAUUGGGACUGCGUUACGGCCCAGACUCCUACGGGAGGCAGCAGUGGGGCAUAUUGCCCCAUGGGCGGAAGCCUGAUGCAGCCACGCAGCGUGCGGGAUGCCGGCCUUCGGGUUGUAAUCUCCUUUCGACCGCGGGGAAGCCACCUGGUUGGAAGGGUGGUGACGGUAGUGGUAGAAGAAGCACCGGCUAACUACGUG
rnacentral:rRNA from 1 species